rnacentral:snoRNA from 1 species
CUUGAGGAUGCAUUCCUGCUGUAAAUAUGGACAAACAGCAAUUUAUAAGCUUUUAGGUGGGCAUGCUGUGAAUACUAGGAUGCCCGUAAAGAAUUUUCAUACAUGG